GAUUCAGUGGUGUAGGGGUAUCAUGGGCGCUUGCCAUUUCAUCCAUUACCGUGUGUCUAACAGUAGUUGGGCGAUGGGAGUGGGGUAGUGUUGAGUGCGCCCGACCCGGGUUCGACUCCCGGCUGAAUCA